GUGAAGCGGCAAUAGCUCAAAUUUGAAAUCUGGCACCUUCGGUGUCCGAGUUGUAAUUUGAAGAAGGUAUCUUUGGUUUUGGCUCUUGUCUAUGUUCCUUGGAACAGGACGUCACAGAGGGUGAGAAUCCCGUGCGAUGAGAUGCCCAAUUCCAUGUAAAGUUCCUUCGACGAGUCGAGUUGUUUGGGAAUGCAGCUCUAAGUGGGUGGUAAAUUCCAUCUAAAGCUAAAUAUUGGCGAGAGACCGAUAGCGAACAAGUACUGUGAAGGAAAGAUGAAAAGAACUUUGAAAAGAGAGUGAAAAAGUACGUGAAAUUGUUGAAAGGGAAGGGCUUGAGAUUAGACUUGGAAUUUUCCAUUUAUGGAGCUUUCCGGGCCAGCAUCAGUUUGGAUGGCAGGAUAAUUGCGUUGGAAAGUAGCACCACUUCGGUGGUGUGUUAUAGACUUCGUCGAUACUGCCUAUCUAGACUGAGGACCGCGUCUUUGACUAGGAUGCUGGCGUAAUGAUCUUAAGCCGCCCGUCUUGAAACACGGA
rnacentral:rRNA from 1 species